rnacentral:lncRNA from 1 species
AUACUUGCAGGGUGCUCUGACUCACGGAGUCACACCCUUUUUUCAAAGCUGUCUCACCCCCAGCGACAGCUUUUGCAACCUCAUGGGCCCAGGGUCUGGCUGACUGUAGGAAGUGUUCUCAGAGGUCUCCAGGAGACAGAACCCACAGGAGGUACCAAGCUAUGAAAAUCUUUGCUCUUUGAGGAGGUGGUUCACAGGAUGAUGGAGGCCUGCAAGUCCAAAUCACAUAGGCCAGGCUGGCAGGAUGGAUGUCCAGGCAGAGCAGACCUUGUAGGGCAGGGUGGAAGGUCCAGUGCUGGAGAAUUCCCUCUGUUCAACAAUCUCUGCUCUCUUUAGGGUGCCAACUGCCUUAUGAAGUCUGCCAGCACGAGGACGACCAUCUCUUCUACUCAGAGUAAACCAAUUUCUACCGAAGUGUCACCCCAAUGUUGCAGUCUUGUUUGACAAGGGACCAUGGAAGAAGAGGGACAGAAGAAAUGGAAGAGUCGGAGGUUGAGGAGAAAACGAAAGCAGCAGUGUCCUCCAACAUGGCAGGACCUCGGCACUCAUGAACUGUCUCACGGCAGCUGUGACGAUCUGCGCAAGGCCUGCACGAGAUCAAGCCGUUCAACAUUUCAGCCUGAGAGGCUGGGGCUGAGGAGCUCCUCUCGAGUUGAGGAACUAUUGACAAUUGAUGGCUUAACAGAGGCUCACGGUGAAGAUGAGGCUACAAACAAGUAUAGGCAAACACUUUGAAGACUCAAGAAGCUGCCACCUAUAGUUGUAUGUGUUACUUGGAAACUCUGUGCUCCUGACCUCUCCCAGAAGGCAGGCCUUUCAGCUUCCCACCUGUCUGAUCUCUCCUUAAUGCCUCCCUGCCUUGCCUUAUGCUCCUGUAAGUUACGGCUCCACUGUCCUCCACUUACUGUUUGCCAAUGUUAUGACUGUGUUAAAAACAAAGACCUAGACAGUAUGCACUAUGCAAGCCUUUGGACAUGCAUUUGCUUGUAUGCUAGACAUAGCUUCAUUCAUUCAGUAAUUAUUUAUUCGUAACUCUGUUCUAGAUACGUAUGAAAACAAAAACAAAAGCCACGUAUGGUCUUUGUCUUCAUGGUCUAAAGUCUUUAAUAGGAAUUAAGUAAUUAGGUGAUCA